GUUUGAUCAUGGCUCAGAUUGAACGCUGGCGGCAUGCCUUACACAUGCAAGUCGAACGGCAGCACGGGGGUAACCCUGGUGGCGAGUGGCGAACGGGUGAGUAAUACAUCGGAACGUGUCCUGGAGUGGGGGAUAGCCCGGCGAAAGCCGGAUUAAUACCGCAUACGCUCUAAGGAGGAAAGCGGGGGACCUUCGGGCCUCGCGCUCAAGGGGCGGCCGAUGGCGGAUUAGCUAGUUGGUAGGGUAAAGGCCUACCAAGGCGACGAUCCGUAGCUGGUCUGAGAGGACGACCAGCCACACUGGGACUGAGACACGGCCCAGACUCCUACGGGAGGCAGCAGUGGGGAAUUUUGGACAAUGGGGGCAACCCUGAUCCAGCAAUGCCGCGUGUGUGAAGAAGGCCUUCGGGUUGUAAACCUCUUUCAGCCCUGACGAAGCGAAAGUGACGGUAGGGGCAGAAGAAGCACCGGCCAACUACGUGCCAGCAGCCGCGGUUAG
rnacentral:rRNA from 1 species